rnacentral:rRNA from 1 species
GUCUUUUUGAGUAUAAUUUAAAGUCUAAUCUGCCCACUGAUAAUUAUUAAAGGGCUGCAGUAUAUUGACUGUACAAAGGUAGCAUAAUCAUUAGUUUUUUAAUUGAAAACUUGUAUGAAGGAUUUGAUGAAAUAUGAACUGUCUCUUAAUUAUUAUUAUUAAAAAUUUAUUUUUUAGUUAAAAAGCUAAAAUAAUUUUAAAAGACGAGAAGACCCUAUAGAGUUUUAUAUUUUAUUGGAUAUUAAAAUUAUAUAAAAAUUAAAAUUAAUAUUUAAUAAAAUAUUAUAUUGGGGUGAUAGAAAAAUUAAAAUAACUUUUUUUAAAAAUUAACCAUAAAUAAAUGAAUAAAUGAUCCAUUAUUAAUGAUUAAAAGAAAAAAUUACCUUAGGGAUAACAGCGUAAUAUUUUUUUUUAGUUCAAAUAAAAAGAAAAGUUUGCGACCUCGAUGUUGGAUUAAGAUAAAAUUUAAAUGCAAACGUUUAAAAUUUUGAUCUGUUCGAUCAUUAAAAUCUU